rnacentral:rRNA from 1 species
UACGAAGGGGGCUAGCGUUGCUCGGAAUCACUGGGCGUAAAGGGUGCGUAGGCGGGUCUUUAAGUCAGGGGUGAAAUCCUGGAGCUCAACUCCAGAACUGCCUUUGAUACUGAAGAUCUUGAGUUCGGGAGAGGUGAGUGGAACUGCGAGUGUAGAGGUAAAAUUCGUAGAUAUUCGCAAGAACACCAGUGGCGAAGGCGGCUCACUGGCCCGAUACUGACGCUGAGGCACGAAAGCGUGGGGAGCAAACAGGG